GAGUACAUUUUCAUAAAACAUUCAGGUUAUGAUGAAUUAUUCCUUUAAAGUGUUUUGCAGUGUGUCAUAUUUCAGUAUUUCAUCAAUGGAUGUCCUUAGACACAUCCACAGAUGUCUGGGAUAAUCCCGAAUAUCCUCUGACCCUAGAAUCACCCCUGCUACACUUCUGACUCAUCCAGAUCUCUUGUUGUCCUUUAAGCUCCUCUGAGGAGGUGUGGGUGCGGCAGUGUGGAGCCACCAGGGGGCGACUCUGUCCAAAUCACCCAGAAGCUUCUUUCUCACUAGAGCGGAGCACUUAUACAGCGGUGAGAUUACUGGCCCCGGUUCACAUGGUGUUGCACCUGCAGUAACUGAGAAUGUCACUCUAUAAAUAUGCUUCGGUUGUCACAUGCAAACCUCUUUUCUGCCAGGGGACCAGCCACCUGUGGUCACUUCCUGUUAUGCCUUUUCAAGAGGUCACCUACCAUUUCCGAGUGUCACAUUCAAGUCAAGCGGGAUGUAGCAGUGAAGACGACAUUGUGUCCUCACGGUGCUCUGAGUACAGUUUCCUCAUUCAAACCACCUGCUAAGCAGUGUCGAGAUUCAUGCUAUUCAGCUUCGACUUCUCAUGUGUACACUUGUAUCGCCACCUCUGAUUCAAAGACUGUUUCAUCUGGGCGAACUGAUGAAGACGUCUUAACUGUGUUUGUUCUGCGCGUAUAUGUUCAAAGCAAAAGGAAAAUUAGCAUUGUUCAAAAAAAACAACAACAAAAAAUCGAGAUCACUUCGCCUUAACCUUGAUUUUAUAUUACUGCUUAUAUACACUCUUGCACACAUACACACACAUACAUUUACUUAUUAAAAUGUCUUUUGAUUUGCCAAGAUAUAAUAUAAAAAGGUACCAUUCUUAAAACUCAUCUGCUUGAAUCUACAUUCAAAAAAAAAAAAAUUUUGUGCAUGAUUCAUCAGUGCAGAUUAUUCCACAGAAAUCAGUGCACAUUAUUUGCAUUUCUUUUAAAUGUCAUUAAACUGGAUUUGUUAACAUGACAUCAGUUUAAUAAAUUUUAAAACAAUAUUUUACCCA
ensembl:lncRNA